rnacentral:rRNA from 1 species
GAGGCCUACGGGGGGCAGCAGUGGGGAAUAUUGCACAAUGGGGGAAACCCUGAUGCAGCGACGCCGCGUGAGUGAAGAAGUAUUUCGGUAUGUAAAGCUCUAUCAGCAGGGAAGAAGGAGGACGGUACCUGAGUAAGAAGCCCCGGCUAACUACGUGCCAGCAGCCGCGGUAAUACGUAGGGGGCAAGCGUUAUCCGGAUUUACUGGGUGUAAAGGGAGCGUGGACGGCGAAGAAAGUCUGAAGUGAAAGCCCGCGGCUCA